GACAUACUCCCUCCGUCCCAAAAUUCAUAUCUUACAUUUCUCUAAAUAUAAAUGUAUCUAGUCAUAUUUUAAUAUUUAGAUGCAUUCAUUUUUAAACAAACCUAAGACAAAAAAUUUAAGACGGAAAGAGUACAAA
rfam:Hordeum vulgare subsp. vulgare, WGS project CAJW01000000 data, contig: morex_contig_2547424